GAUGAACGCUAGCGAUAGGCCUAACACAUGCAAGUCGAGGGGCAUCACAUGAGGCAGCAAUGCCGAUGGUGGCGACCGGCGCACGGGUGCGUAACGCGUAUGCAAUCUACCUUGUACAGGGGAAUAGCCCAGAGAAAUUUGGAUUAAUGCCCCAUGGUAUAUAGUUUUCGCAUGAUUACUAUAUUAAAGAUUUAUCGGUACAAGAUGAGCAUGCGUCCCAUUAGUUAGUUGGUGUGGUAACGGCACACCAAGACGAUGAUGGGUAGGGGUCCUGAGAGGGAGAUCCCCCACACUGGUACUGAGACACGGUCCAGACUCCUACGGGAGGCAGCAGUGGGGAAUAUUGCACAAUGGGCGAAAGCCUGAUGCAGCAACGCCGCGUGAGCGAUGAAGGCCU
rnacentral:rRNA from 1 species